rnacentral:lncRNA from 10 species
UGGCCUGCGAGUGCAGCGCGCAGCCCCUGUUCCCGCCCGCGCGUCUCCCUCCACAUCUCCGGGCAAGCAAAGGGAGCCGGCUCCAGCCUCGGCCAGCCCAGAGAGUGCCUCCCACAGUGCAGCGGCGGGCUGAAGGGCUGGCUUCUCAAGCGUGGCCAGAGUGGACGCCGAGGCUGAGGAGGCGCCCAGAGUGAGCAAGGGCUGAUAGCACGUUGUCACCUCAAUACCACAGAAAUUGAAAACAGAGAUAAAAGGAGACUACUGUAUAUCAGUUCAAGGAUACACAGCAAGAGACAAUAGAAGCAGAGGAUUCAGGGCGAGCUGUUUCUCCAAGGCUAGGGAAGCUACUUGAGGCAUUUGGAGACUUGAUUGAAUGUGCCUUACUUGGAUCACAGAUGAGGGACCUGAAAGUGCAGCCUACCUUGGGCUGUAUACCUCAGGCGAAACAUGAAACACUGGACCAAACACUGAAGGACAUUCUGUUGCUAGAGGGCCCUGAAGCAGAGCUAGGGCUGUUCCAGCGAGUUACCCUCCUAUCUCAAGACAUUACAUUCUCAGUGCUUUCUACAUUUAUCCUUGAGAAUUACAAGUGAGAAAGAGGAGAGAAUGAGUCUGUUCAAGGCCUCCUGGAGAAGUUUCCUGAACCAUCU